GUAUUGCCUUGAGCGUCUGGUUAAUUUCACUCAGAAUCUUGUCCAGGGAUUCAGAGUCUGCCAUUUUCUUUUUGAGGUCGUUUAAGUGGCUGGAUGUUUUCUGGAAGAUGUCCAGGACAUGCACUGGUUCCCUGAAUGCACGCUCGGGCCAUGUCUCAUCAAUAAUCUUUGACAGCUCUCUGCCAAUGUAAGACAAUUGUUGUUGACUACUGUCAAUUUCUGGAGUUCUGAUUUCUGCCCUCUCCACACAGGCGUUGAUGACUGUGAGCAAGGUAGUGACAUUUUUCAGUAGCGUCCUCACUGGGGGCACGAAGGUUGUUUCUAUAGCAUUUUCUGAGGGAAUGUUGCUGAUUAAUUCUGAAAGGGUCUCCACGGUGUCCUUUUCGAUGGCCUUGACAGCCUCCUGGAUAGCACUUGAAAGUAGUGGUGUGCGGGUUUCUGUUUCUAGAUAAAUGGGCCCCAGGGAGGCGGGUGGAUCGGUGUUAUUUAAAACUGAAAGCAUCAAAGCCUUGAAUCUGGCAUCCUGCUCACUUGUUAGAGCCAUGUUGUUUGAGACCACCCUUUUUAGGUCCUGUACAGUCGAGACCAGAUUAUUGGCCUCUUCUACCGAGCACACACAAAAAAAAUCUUGGGGGAAGGACUCGGUGAAGGUCGUGAUGAUAUCCUUUAUGUCAAGGCUACUUUUGCUUAUCUCCAGGGCGCGGGUGAGAUUUUUACAGUGGAGUAGGAUUUUUUGGAGGUCCGUCGCGCGGUUAGCGUGCAUGGCGGGUAGGCACGCGCAUACUUUGGCCUGGACAUGGUCUGCGAGGUUUGGGUCUGAUAUGAGAUUAUUUUUUAGCAGGGUGAACAGUUUUUCAAUUUGGAGGUUUGAAUUAAUUAACAGUUUGAUAUCAUCAUUUUUAAUUUGUAGCUGCUUGGACCACGCCAUUAGAUAAUUCAGAACAUUCAAGGCCUCGGUGGGAGUGUAGUCGCUGUCUGAAACCACUCCAAUCUCUAGUACCUGUUGGAGGACAUUCUUGAGCUGAUGGAGAGCCCUGGUCAGGCGAUAUGAUUCUCCAGUAUCAGUGUCUACUAAUGCGGGGAAUGAUGGCACAUGGCCAGGCAGAGUCAGGGAAUUUAAAAGCUGGUCCACGGCAGCCAGGUUGGGGAGGGUGACGCUUGGGAGGGACGUCCCAGACCUGUCUGGCUCGGCCUCCCUGUCGCCCUCGCUCUCGUCCUCCAUAUCAUCGUCCCCAGUAAGAUCGAUGACGUCAUCGUCCAUCGUUAAGUCAAUUAUGUCUGGAGAGGGUAGAGGGUGUGUCAUUUUCUCUGGAGGGGUGCGCCCAGAUUCUUUCCUCUUUUUGUUGGCAUCAGUCCACUCCUCCCCACAGCUCAUAGGAUACCUCUUCCUCUUUGCCUUUGACAUGUAUUUCAAGAGGGAGCCCACUUCUGGGUCAGGCGACGAUGACGCCUGUGGUGACGAACAGAAACUCUGGUUGGUGGUUGGUAGGUCAUAUUCUUCCAAGAUUAUUUUUGAACCAUGUAAAUCAGAAAAGGAGAUGACUUUAUAGUGAGACAUGAUGUAAUUUUUGGGAGAAAUGUGUCCUGGUACAAAAUAUAGGAAGCACGCAGUAUAUUCGCGGGACACGCCCCCGACAUAUUUUAUCAGAGCAUCUGGAUCAGACGUGCUGAGUACGUGGGCUGGACUCUCAGGAAUGUCCUUUAGACAGUGUGGAUCAAACAUGGUGUACCUGCCCCCCUGGAUGAUUAUGGCCCCAGAUUUUUGUCCACAGAUGUACAAAAUAUACUGGAUAGUGUUUGAAUAAUUGGCCGUCAGCAGGUCACGCAGGGACGUGAUGCAGGAGUCAGAAAUGUCAGCUGGCAUGCCAAGCAGGCCAAACAUUUCAGCAGAGGUAUAGAUGAACCCAGACCACUUUCUUGUUUGGACAUAGCAAGGCACGUGGUCCAGCUGGGCAUAUUGGCCAGGAGAUAAGAGGCCCAAUUUUCUCAGAUUGCUGUCUAACUCUGCCCCAAACUUUAAAACUUUAUUAAGGUCGUGGGUCUCGGUUAUGGGGGCUUCAUUGUUGAAGUAGGAAGACAUCAGGUAUAUGAUACAGUUGCUAAGACACUGAGCCCCUGCAUUUUCUCCAAAUUUACAAUCUGCCUGAUUGGUUGAGGCUGUACCUUCGAUGCGAAACCCAGCCAAAGAAGCAGGCAGGGCCAUUAUGAUAGCAGUUUUAUUAUGUCAUGAAUUUUUACAAUAGUGUAGGGGCACUCUGCGUGCUCGGCGGUGUAGGUUUGUUGUGUAAAUAUUUGCCAGUUAACAUCCAGGGGUAUUCUGUCAUAAGUGCUGGAAUAUUUUUUCAGUUGGGGUGGAUGUUUCUCACCACGGGCAGCGUUUUGGCUAAAAAUCUGGGGGUAGGUAGAAUAUAGCAUGGUUAGGUCUUCAUCUGUGGGGUUUCCCCCAGCCUGGGUCAUUGACGUGUCUGUGGGUGGAGCCAUCAGAUUUACUGGAAUUUCUUUAAGAUUUUUGAUAAUUUCCACAUUUCCAGCCGAUGCCGCCUUUAAGAUUGUGGGGGUAAUGAUUUCCUGGGAAAACAGGUCAUGAAACCUUUUUCUUAAGCAACUUGAACAUCCUUUCGAGAGAAGGGAUAGUCCAGAGCUAAUUCUGGAGAGUAUGCCACUGAAGGACUGUUUGAGUUGGUUCCAAGGUUCGGUGUCAAAUUCUAUCCCCAACUCAUGCUGUUUAUAUGCCUCUAGGUCUUGAAGAAGUGAGAGCACCGUGCUGUAUUCCCCCCUGAGUUCACCCUCCAGAUCUGUUAUCUCCAUCAGGAGCUGACUGUGAUCCUUUUCCACCUGGCUAAUCAGACUCUUGAGGGUCUCCAAGUGAACUUCCAGAAUCUGUCCACUGGAGGACAGUAUGGUGAAUUGAUGGGUUAGGGGGUGAUAGUUAUAUUUGGUGUGACAUAAAAUUGAGCCCAGACGUAAGAUGUUUCUGCCCCUCAACAAAAGGUGUUCGACCUUGGGGAUGAUGGCCGUGAUAUAAUCUACAGAAUUGAUAUAGGAUGCGCCAGUGUCUAGUACAAAUAAGUAGAGGAUUAGAUCCUGGGGUAUAGAAAAUGUCUGGUUAAUUUUGUUGAUCUUUUUCUUUAGAUCCAGGGCAUGGUCCAAGAGAUUCUUCAUGGCAGAAGGUUUAUUGGUCCCGUUGAUGAUGUCGAGCAGCUCAAAGUAGAACAUGCCCAGCGGUCUGCGGAUCUCCUGCAGCUGGGGCGUGUCGGUGAUAGCGAAGCUCAGCAGCCAUCUUAUUUGGAAGAGGGCCCGGUUUCUUGACGUCUUUCUGGAAAAUAUCCCCUGUAUGGUGGGACCAACGAUGUGUCUGAUGAAGUACUUGUAAAACAUUUUAUGGGAGACCAUGGCAGGCUCGUAGGAUAAGUCCCCGACAGGCAUUCUUUUACAGUAGGCCGCGACCCUCUCUUCGGAAACCUGGUGCUCGCAAGAGGGUUCCAUCAGUGGAUUCUGGGUGAUGAGGACAAUGCCCCAAUUCCUGUUUACCCAUGAAAAAAAUAAAGUUCUCAUGAUAUCUGA
rnacentral:lncRNA from 1 species